rnacentral:rRNA from 1 species
UGGGGAAUAUUGCACAAUGGAGGGAACUCUGAUGCAGCGACGCCGCGUGAGUGAUGAAGGAAUUCGUUUCGUAAAACUCUGUUCUAUGGGAAGAAAAGGACUGUACCAUAGGAGAAAGCUCCGGCUAAAUACGUGCCAGCAGCCGCGGUAAUACGUAUGGAGCGAGCGUUGUCCGGAAUUAUUGGGCGUAAAGGGUGCGCAGGCGGCUUUACAAGUUGGAUGUGAAAUAUUGUGGCUCAACCACAAACGUGCAUCCAAAACUGCAAAGCUUGAGGUAAGGAGAGGUAAGUGGAAUUCCUGGUGUAGCGGUGGAAGGCGUGGAUAUCGGGAGGAAUACCGGUGGCGAAGACGACUUACUGGACUUAAACUGACGCUCAGGCACAAAAGCGUGGGGAGCAAACAGG